rnacentral:tRNA from 1 species
UGCUGAUGUAGCACAAUCGGUAGUGCAAUUGAUUUGUAAUCAAUAGGUUGUAGGUUCAAGUCCUGCCAUCAGCACCAA